GAUGAACGCUAGCGGCAGGCCUAAUACAUGCAAGUCGAACGGUGUCUUCGGACAUAGUGGCGCACGGGUGCGUAACACGUAUGCAACCUACCUUACAUUGGGGGAUAGCCUUUCGAAAGGGAGAUUAAUACCGCAUAAGACAGUAGCUGGGCAUCCAGCAGCUGUUAAAGAUUUAUCGAUGUAAGCUGGGCAUGCGUCCAAUUAGCUAGUUGGUGAGGUAACGCCUAACCAAGGCAAUGAUUGGUAGGGGACCUGAGAGGUCAAUCCCCCACACUGGCACUGAGAUACGGGCCAGACUCCUACGGGAGGCAGCAGUAGGGAAUAUUGGGCAAUGGGCGCAAGUCUGACCCAGCCAUGCCGCGUGCAGGAUGAAGGCGUUAUGCGUUGUAAACUGCUUUUAUACAGGAAGAAACGACUCUUGCGAGAGGCAUUGACGGUACUGUAUGAAUAAGCACCGGCUAACUCCGUGCCAGCCGCCGCCGUAACAC
rnacentral:rRNA from 1 species